rnacentral:rRNA from 1 species
GUUGCAGUUAAAAAGCUCGUAGUUGGAUUUCGGAACCGGCCGAUUGGUCCGUCCUCUGGAUCGUGUACUGAUCGGUCUGUUCUUCUUCGCGAAGACCGCGUGUGCUCUUAACUGAGUGGGCGUGGGAUUCGCGACGUUUACUUUGAAAAAAUUAGAGUGUUCAAAGCAGGCAGUCGCUUGAAUAACUCAGCAUGGAAUAAUAGAAUACGACUUUGGUCUUAUUUUGUUGGU